CAGUCGAACGGACUCAUAUUGAAACCUAGUGAUUUAUGAGUUAGUGGCGGACCUUUGAGUAACGCGUGGAUAACCUGCCGUAUACCGGGGGAUAACACUUAGAAAUAGGUGCUAAUACCGCAUAAGCGCACGGCUCCGCAUGGGGCAGUGUGAAAAACUCCGGUGGUAUACGAUGGAUCCGCGUCUGAUUAGCUUGUUGGCGGGGUAACGGCCCACCAAGGCAGCGAUCAGUAGCCGAUCUGAGAGGAUGGCCGGCCACAUUGGGACUGAGACACGGCCCAAACUCCUACGGGAGGCAGCAGUGGGGAAUAUUGCACAAUGGGGGAAACCCUGAUGCAGCAACGCCGCGUGAGUGAAGAAGUAUUUCGGUAUGUAAAGCUCUAUCAGCAGGGAAGAGAAUGACGGUACCUGACUAAGAAGCCCCGGCUAACUACGUGCCAGCAGCCGCGGUAAUACGUAGGGGGCAAGCGUUAUCCGGAUUUACUGGGUGUAAAGGGAGCGUAGACGGCUGGCCAAGUCUGAAGUGAAAGCCCGGGGCUUAACCCCGGAACGGCUUUGGAAACUGGCCGGCUGGAGUGCUGGAGAGGCAGGCGGAAUUCCUGGUGUAGCGGUGAAAUGCGUAGAUAUCAGGAGGAACACCGGUGGCGAAGGCGGCCUGCUGGACAGUAACUGACGUUGAGGCUCGAAAGCGUGGGGAGCAAA
rnacentral:rRNA from 1 species